GCCGGGCAUGGUGGUGGGCGCCUGUAAUCCCAGCUACUCGGGAGGCUGAGAUGGGAGAAUUGCUCGAACCUGGGAAGCGGAGGUUGCAGUGAGCCAAGAUCCUGCCACUGCACUCCAGCCUGGGUGACAGAACGAGACUCUGUCCUAAAAAAAAAAAAAAAAAAGAGAGACAGAGUCUCUCUGUCACCCAGGCUGGAGUGCAGUGGUGUGAUCAGAGUUCACUGCAGCCUCAAACUCCUGGGCUCAAGCCACCCGCCCCU
rnacentral:lncRNA from 1 species